rfam:Schistosoma curassoni strain Dakar, Senegal genome assembly, scaffold: SCTD_scaffold0000346
AUCCAGCUGAGUCCCAAGUAGGACGAAAUGCGCGUCCUGAAU